rnacentral:tRNA from 1 species
GGAUUGUGGCUCAGCGGUAGAGCACUCAUCUCGCACGUGUAGGACCCUGGGUUCGAUCCUCAGCGCCA